AAAAAAUUGUUCACACAAUUUUGUUUUUUAUAGGGCCAGCAGAGAAGGCCCUGCUCACCCUGACGGCCCGCCACUGCUGUCAGACGACAUCUCCAAGAUGCUAUACACUGCAGGACCAGAUGGCCAUUCCAAGGUUUCUAGAGAUUACACCAGCUCCAGACUGAAUCCAAACACCCAAACUUACUUGUGAAGACUUCAGAUGAUGCCAACGCUCACAAAGACUACAGACGACGGCGACUAUAAAUGAACACACAAAACAUUGGACACACAAAACAAAUAUUUUCCUUAUUUUGCCUAUGAGUAAAUUUGAUGAUUUUCAACCUGCUUUAUUGCAACAUCUCUUAUAUCUGUAAAUGAACCGUAUUUACUCUCUCUGAGUUAUAUGGACCUACAUGUCCCCUUUUAUUUGUAAGCAGCACUCUGCAGGAUGAUGCAAAAUUAAAUGAGGUUUUGAGAAAAUGACACAAUGCAGUAUCUAAAUGAAAACAUGCUGUUUUGCAUCAGUUUUGCUGGCAAAAAAAACGGUAUCUUGGAAAAAGAAUAAACAUUGUUCUUUUACAAAUGUUACCAACAUUGUAACAAUGCAAAAUGGAUUGAAUAUUUUUUAACUUACCCUUUAAAAAUGUUGAAAGACAAUGUUAAUGUUAACUGAACACAAAACUUGUUUAGUAAGAUUUUAUCAGAAAAUAUUUUAGAAUUUUUAUCAUGCAAUUUAAAACAUUUUAAUUGCUUAAUUAUUGUUUGCCUGGUUUUAUUUUGUGUUUAUGUAACUGUUUUUAAAAAGUUUUUGGCAUAAAGUUAGCCUGCGAUGCUGACAGCACUGAACACAUGACUUUUUAUUAUGAACUAGUAGAUGGUCUUCCCAGUGAGUCUGUCACUUCUGGCUUUUUAAACUGUAACCUUGAAACAUGCAUUUUCUGUAAACCUACUUUGAAAUAAGUAAAGUGCUAUACUCAUACAACAUUUAACCAUGCAAGUACUGUAGUAAUGGUUAUUUUUGUAGUUACUAUGGUUUUACUGCAACAGUCAUAGUUAAACCAUGGUGAUUGAAGUAAAACUAUGGUUGAUUUUGUUUUUACAAUGGUUUUACUGCAAAAGCUGUAGUAAAAUCAUGGUUCAUUUUCAAAAGACUACAAAUAAUCCCGAAUUAUCCACUUUUGAUCAAAGCAUGGUAAAUGUUAAUGUAUUUGUACAUGUAAUAUGAAAUAAAUGAAAAUAUUAAUAAAGUUGCAUCGGUUCUUG